AGAGUUUGAUCCUGGCUCAGAACGAACGCUGGCGGCGUGCUUAACACAUGCAAGUCGAGUGCGCGUCUGUAGCAAUACAGAUGGCGCACGGCGCACGGGUGCGUAACACGUGGGCAAUCUGCCCUUCGAUGGGGAAUAUCUUCGGGAAACCGAAGCGAAUUCCGCAUAACAUUCCUUGGACUUCGGUUUGAGGACUCAAAGCCGUAAGGCGUCGAAGGAGGAGCCCGCGCACGAUUAGCUAGUUGGUAGGGUAACGGCCUACCAAGGCUUUGAUCGUUAGCUGGUCUGAGAGGAUGGCCAGCCACACUGGAACUGAGACACGGUCCAGACUCCUACGGGAGGCAGCAGUGGGGAAUCUUGCACAAUGGGCGAAAGCCUGAUGCAGCGACGCCGCGUGGGGGAUGAAGCAUCUCGGUGUGUAAACCCCUUUCGACCCGGAAGAAUGCCUCGCAAGAGGACUGACGGUACGGGUAUAAGAAGCCCCGGCUAACUACGUGCCAGCAGCCGCGGUAAGACGUAGGGGGCCAGCGUUGUUCGGAAUUACUGGGUGUAAAGGGUUCGUAGGCGGUGUGGCAAGUUGGGAGUGAAAUCUCUGGGCUCAACCCAGAGGCUGCUUCCAAAACUGCUGUGCUUGAGUGUGGGAGAGGCGCGUGGAAUUGCAGGUGUAGCGGUGAAAUGCGUAGAUAUCUGCAGGAACACCCGUGGCGAAAGCGGCGCGCUGGACCACUACUGACGCUGAGGAACGAAAGCUAGGGGAGCAAACAGGAUUAGAUACCCUGGUAGUCCUAGCCCUAAACGAUCAGGACUUGGGGUGCCGCCCGUUCGGGCGUCGUCCCGGAGCUAACGCGUUAAGUCCUGCACCUGGGGAGUACGGUCGCAAGACUGAAACUCAAAGGAAUUGACGGGGGCCCGCACAAGCGGUGGAACAUGUGGUUCAAUUCGACGCUACGCGAGGAACCUUACCUGGGCUCGAAAUGCUAGUGACCAGCUGUAGAAAUACGGCCUUCCCGCAAGGGACACUAGUAUAGGCGCUGCAUGGCUGUCGUCAGCUCGUGCCGUGAGGUGUUGGGUUAAGUCCCGCAACGAGCGCAACCCCUGCACGUAGUUGCCACUCCGCAAGGAGGGAACUCUACGUGGACUGCUCCGGAUAACGGAGAGGAAGGUGGGGAUGACGUCAAGUCCGCAUGGCCUUUAUGUCCAGGGCUACACACG
rnacentral:rRNA from 1 species